rnacentral:tRNA from 1 species
GGGCGCGUAGCUCAGCUGGCUAGAGCGCCUCAUUGACGUUGAGGAGGUCGGGGGUUCAACUCCCUCCGCGCCCACCA